GUGGUGGCUCAGUGGUAAAGUGCUCCUCUCACAUGUGUGAGGCUUGGGUUUGAUCCUCAGCACCACA
rnacentral:tRNA from 1 species